GGGGAUAUAGCUCAGUAGGGAGAGCGCAUGCCUCGCAUGCAUGAGGUCAGGGGUUCGAAUCCCCUUAUCUCCACCA
rnacentral:tRNA from 6 species